rnacentral:rRNA from 1 species
CCUACGGGAGGCAGCAGUGGGGGAUAUUGCACAAUGGGGGAAACCCUGAUGCAGCGACGCCGCGUGUGGGAAGACGGUCCUCUGGAUUGUAAACCACUGUCCCCAGGGAAGAAGAUGACGGGACCUGGGGAGGAAGCGCCGGCGAACUACGUGCCAGCAGCCGCGGUAAUACGGAGGGAGCGAGGGUUGGCCGGAAUUACGGGGGGUAAAGGGAGCGGAGGAGGGACUGCAAGUUGGGUGUCAAAUCUACCGGCUCCACCGGUAGCCGCACUCAAAACUGCCGUUCUUGAGUGAAGUAGAGGCAGGCGGACUUCCUCGUGUAGCGGUGCACUGCGUAGAUAUUAGGUG